GGUCUGGGGGCUCCAUUUAAGCUCAGGGCAUAGCUGUCAACCUCUUCUCUGGUCCUGGUGCUUAGCUAGGGAGGGAUGAUUUUGUCUCUGGUCUCAUUUCUGAUUCUGUUUCCAUAAUGAACCCUGGAUGUCUGUUGGUCCUGCUCAUUCAAGCCCUGGCACCAGUGCUGCCCCACAAGAAGCUCAGGAGGAAAAGAUGGCAUCUCUGCAAUCAUCUGAAGGUCUCUCCUUGGAGCUGACCCUACAGCUGCUUGUGAGGUACCUGAGCCCUGUUCCAGCUCCUGGCUGGGCUGUGGGGUUACAGGGUUCCUUGCUGGGGACAGAAUCCUUUGGGAGCUGGCUGAUAGCCUUGCCCUGUCCUGUCUUGUGAUGGGUGGAUAAAGGGAUGGAGGAAAGCCCACAAGAAAGCUCUGAAGAAAUCUUUUUGGACCCUCAUUAUCACUAUGACUAAGGAAUGGAUGGACACCCACAAUAUAUUUCAGGCACUGCUUUAGCAAGGUGGUGAUCCCCCUCAGCACACAGGCACUCCAAAUCAGCUGGAAACUGAAUUAAAUGUUUGAUGACAAGGUUUCCAGCACAGACCAUAACAGCUCUUCGUAGCUGAAUUGAGGACGGCUGAAAAUGUCAGGAAAGCACCUAUACAGGUGUCAAACUGCUCUCUGCAAGGAGGCACAGCACAAGGGAAGGCUGAUGGACUCCUUGCAGAGCCACUAUUUCACCUCAAACUUUUCCUGCAAGUCCUCAGCUGGUGAUUGUGCUUGGCUUUAAUGUGCUGAUGGACUUGUGAGGGUGUGGUUCUGCCCAUGCCUGUUGUGGAAGAGCUGUGUGGGUGAUUUUGAGGACUCAGAAGAUGUUUAGUUAAUUGGUUCUCUCAAUGGGGCUGGAGGGCUUGUGGGAGGGUAGCCUCUGGUGUAGGAGCAUUAAACAAUUGGCAAAACAUUAUGCUGAUUAUUCAUGUAUUAAUUGGCAGAAGAAAAAGUUCUGGGGGAGGCUCAGACUGCUAAUUUCCAUCCUGACACAGCACUGAAAGGUCUCCCCAAGCAAAAUCUACUCCCUUGAGAGCUUUCCUUCAGCUUAGUUGUGACUCUAAUAACACCCAGGAGACUCCUCCUGGGGUUAGCAUCCCUGGUUAGACAGGGUGAAGUGGUGGUGUCCUUGCAUGACUAUUCAUUCCCUGCUGGGGUCCUUAUGGGGUUAUUCCCAGCGCUGCAUUUAUGACACUUGGGUGUGAGCCCAGCUACUCUGCCCUACAAAAAGUGUCUCCUCUUCCUUGCAAAAUGCAACUGGGGACUUUCAGCUCUCAAAUGCCUGUUGCUUGGUGAGAAGAAAGCCAGGAACCAGCACUGCUGCGGGUGAAGAGUUCAUCCCCUUG
rnacentral:lncRNA from 1 species